UACGGGGGGAGCAAGCGUUGUUCGGAUUUACUGGGCGUAAAGGGCGCGUAGGCGGUCAGCACAAGUCAGUUGUGAAAUCUCCGGGCUUAACUCGGAAAGGUCAACUGAUACUGUGCGACUAGAGUGCAGAAGGGGCAACUGGAAUUCUCGGUGUAGCGGUGAAAUGCGUAGAUAUCGAGAGGAACACCUGCGGCGAAGGCGGGUUGCUGGGCUACUCCUGACACUGAGGUACGAAAGCGUGGGAGCGAACAGG
rnacentral:rRNA from 1 species